AACAUCAAGCAUAAUAUUUCAUUGAUUCUCACAAAAACAGUUGGGUGCCACAGUUAUCCCCAUUAUAUGCACAAAAUGAUGAAGACUUGGGGUUAAUGAGCGAUUUGCCCAAGCUCACCUGAAUAUUAGGACUGAGUCAAAUGUUAGUCUGGUCUGACUUUAAUGCUUGCCUUGUUCAUGAGCACCAUGCAUUGCCUCUCCUAUUAAGUUAAGCAGGUAGACAGGUGAGAGAAGAGCCUGUGUGAUAUCGGGGGAAAUUCACCCCUGAUAUUUCAUGUAGGUUCUUUUCUAUUUUCCCUGAGUGUCAGCCGGUCUGAGAAAUAAAGGGAAAGAGUACAAAAGAGAGAAAUUUUAAAGCUGGGUGUCCAGGGGAGACAUCACACGUCAGCAGGUUCCGUGAUGCCCCCCCAAGCUGCAAAACCAACAAGUUUUUAUUAGUGAUUUUCAAAAGGGGAGGGAGUGUACGAAUAGGGUGUGGGUCACAGAGAUCACAUGCUUCACAAGGUAAUAAAAUAUCACAAGGCAAAUGGAGGCAGGGCAAGACCACAGGACCGGGGCGAAAUUAAAAUUGCUAAUGAAGUUUCGGGCACGCAUUUUCAUUGAUAACAUCUUAUCAGGAGAAAGGGUUUGAGAGCAGACAACCCAUCUGACCAAAAUUUAUUAGGCGGGAAUUUCCUUGUCCUGAUAAGCCUGGGAGCGCCACGCGAACCCAGGGCUUAUUUCGUCCCUUAUCUACGACUGUAAAAGACAGCUGUCCCCAAAGCGGCCAUUUCAGAGGCCUCCCCUUAGGGAUGCAUUCUCUUUCUCAGGGAUGUUCUUUGCUGAGAAAAAGAAUUCAGCAAUAUUUCUCCUAUUUGCUUUUGAAAGAAGAGAAAUAUGGCUCUGUUCCACCCGGCCCACAGGCAGCCAGAGUUUAAGGUUAUCUCCCUUGUUCCCUGAAAUUGCUGUUAUCCUGUUCUUUUUUCAAGGUGCCCAGGUUUCAUAUUGUUUAAACAACUUGUGCAGUUAACGCAAUUAUCACAGGGUCCUGCGGGGACAUCAUCCUCAGCUUACGAAGGUGACCGGAUUAAGAGAUUAAAGUAAAGACAGGCAUAGGAAAUCACAAGGGUAUUGAUUGGGGAAGUGAUAAGUGUCCAUGAAAUCUUCACAAUUUAUGUUCAGAGAUUGCAGUAAAGACAGGCCUAAGAAAUUAUAGAAGUAUUAAUUUGGGGAACUAACAAAUGUCUAUGAAAUCUUCACAAUUUAUGUUCUUCUGCCAUGGCUUCAGCCAGUCCCUCCGUUUGGGGUCCCUGACUUCCCGCAACACGUUUCUCUCUACUCACAGACUUCUGACCAAAUGUGUGUGCAGAGUUUCUACACCAGUUCUCCAACUCUCUGGAUACCAACCGCGUAUCCCACAAUUCCAUUCUGACACUACCUAGAGUUAGCACAGAACCCACAGGUUAGGGGCUCAGUCCCACAAGACCACCCUCACUUCAGAUGCCAGUUGCAAGUCCUAGGUUGUCACCUGUAUUUUGACCAACCAGUUAGAAAUCGGGGUUUCCCAUGACCCUCUUCUUGAGUUUAAUUAUUUACUAGAACAACUCACAGAACUUAGAAAAACAGGUUUUUUUUCUUUUCUAUUUAAGAGACAGGGCCUCGCUCUGUUGUCCAAGCUGGUGUGCAGUGGUGCAAUCAUAGCUCAUUGAAGCCUCAACCUCCAGGGCUCAAGUGAUUCUCCUGCUUCAGCCUCUCAAGUAGCUGGAAUUACAGGGUUCCCACCACCACAUUUGGCUCAUUUCUUUUAUUUUUUGUAUAGAUGGGGUCUUCUUAUGUUGCCCAGGUUGGUCUCAAAUUGCUAGGCUCAAGUGAUUCCACCCACCUCUGCCUCCCACAGUGCUGGGAUUACGGGCAUGAGCCAGCGCAUCUGGCCACCUUAUUUUCAAUUACUGGCUCAAUGUAAUGGCUCCAUCUCAGGAACAGCCAAUGAAAGAGAUGCACAGGACAAGAGAUGGGACCUCAGUAUGUUGCCACGGCUGACCUUGAACUCCUGCACUCAAGGGAUUUUCCUACCCUGGCCUCCCAAAGUAUUGAGACGAGGUUUCGCCAUGUUUCCCAGACUGUUCUCAAACUCCUGAGCUCAAAGCAGUCCACCCACCUUGGCCUCCCAGAGUGCUGGGAUUACAGGUGUGAGCCAUCUUGCUCAUUCUAGUUUAAACUUUUGAGUAGUUUGUGUCUCCUGAUUGGACUCCUACAAAUACAGAAUUGAUGCUAGGAAGGGUACCAGGAGAUAGACGCACACAGAUGGGAUUUGGGAAUAGGUUUGGUUAUCCAAGGAGCAGUGCUGAGCUCCUUGCUAAUGGGAUAUGGGAUGCUGGUGAUUUCCAGGAAGUGAGCUCACAAUGACUCAAGCUGCCACAUAGUGUUGAUUGUGAAAUGCCAGUUGAAGCAUAUGUCCUGCGAGCUUGGGGGUGCUACAAGUUGACCACUGCAGCAGUAAAGAUGACUCUGAAGAAUGGCGUGGGAUGGAUCCUUUCAAAUGCACUUGAGCAGCAGUCUCCAACCACAGGGCCACAGAGCUGGAGCUGGAUCUACCAUGAAAGACUUCUGAAUCCAGGAAGAGAGACUGACUGGGCAACAUGUUAUUCAGGUACAAAAAGAUUUGGACUGUAACUUAAAAAUGAUCAAAUAAUAGUGCAUGCAUCAAGUGCAAUGGGAAGCUCCACUGGAGAGUGAGAGAAGCUUCCAGUUAAGGUGACAUUGAAGCCAAGUCCUGAAAGAUGAGGAAGAGUUGUAUGAGAGUGGGGAGGGAAGGGGGAGGUGGAGGGAUGGGGAAUGGGUCGGGAUGGGAUAGCAUAAACUGCCCGGGAAGGGAAACCAGCACUGUACAGAACUGAACAACGAAGAUGGCAUAUUUUGUUCAGGGAAU
rnacentral:lncRNA from 1 species